AGCGCUGGGGGAGUGACGUCACUUUCCCAAACCGGCAGGCAGCCGUUGAGAGUUUCGACCGAGAGACGGCGGCAGUCGGCGAGCAGCUCAACUUUUAAUGCACGCGAGCGGCGGCUGCGGGCGCCGUUUUCUGCCUAGUCCUCUUUUCGCAUCCUCCCGCCGGACCUCGGCGCGACGACGCCGUUCGCCCAGCGGCUCGGUUCGGCUCCGCUCCCAGCAGUGGACGGCGACUCUGGAUCUUUUACGCGUUCGACCGUCCCGCGGCUCCGACACGCUUCGACCGAGUGAUUGAGUGAGUGACUGCAUGGACCGGACUGAACAUGAAGAGCCUCAAAGCCAAGUUUAGGAAAACCGAUGUUAACGAGUGGAACAAGAACGAUGAGCGCCUGCUGGCUGCGGUGGAGCACGGCGAGGCGGAGAAGGUGGCGUCGCUUCUGGCCAAGAAAGGCUCCAGUGCUGUAAAGCUGGACAGCGAGGGCAAAUCAGCUCUCCAUGUCGCUGCCUCGCGUGGUCAGACAGAUUGCCUUUCUGUCAUCUUGGCUCAUGGAGCUGACCUGUUGGUUACAGACGCUGCUGGUCUUAGUCCUUUACAUUUGGCUGCUAAAAACAAUCACACCGAGUGCUGCAAAAAGCUGAUUCAGUGUAAAUGUCCCAUCGACAUCGCAGACAGUUCCGGAAAGACUGCCCUGCAUCAUGCUGCUGCCAGUGGGAACAUCCAGACCGUUCAACUGCUGUGUGAACUGAAGGGCUCCAUCGCCCUUAAAGAUGCAGACGGAUUCACCCCCUUGUUGUUGUCAGCCAGACACGCUCACGCUGACGUAUGCGCCGCGUUGAUGGACUGUGGUGCCGAAAUCAAUGCGUUUGACAACAGCGGCAGGACAGCCUUGAUGCUGGCAGCGGAGUCCAAUGCUGCAUCCGUCGUUGAGCUUCUGGUCCAGCGACGAGCAGAUCCGUCACUAGUGGAUGCUAACGGCCAUGAUGUUUUCCACUACGCCAAGCUAUCAGACAAGCCAGAGGUCAAAGCGGCCCUCACGGCCGCCCUGAGCAGACAGGUUUCAGACGUAUAUACAAAGUCUCCAGGUCCUCAGCAUGAUCAAGUAGCUAAGCUAAGUGAUGAACGGAUCACACCCAAAAAACGAAAAGCACCUCCACCUCCUAUUAGCCCACUGCAGAGCUCGGGACCCUCCUCUCCUUCAGUUGAUACCUCUACAGGGACCCCUGCAACAAGCAAAAGUGAGACUCUCACGAAAUUCAGCUACAAGGAAGAUGAAGUGAGAGGAAAUGUGCUGAGAGAGGAGGUUGAGAAGCUCCAUGAGGAGAGAAACAUGUUGCUGGAGACGAUUGAGGACCUGAAGCAGACGGUGACCGGGCCGGAGCUGGAUACAAAGAUUGAACACAGCUUUACAGCAUCUGCAGCUCUGGUAUCUGCUCUGCAAACCAAGAUCGCUGCUCUCACGUUGGAGAACCAGCAACUUACAAGCAAACUAAAGAGGCAGCAUUCGCUCCAGGAAAACGAGGAGACGAGCCGUCCAAACAGCAUGGCCUCCAACUCCUCAUUCCACUCCACUCAGGAUGAAUUUGAAUCUCCAAUCUCCUCCACAACCCAGAAGGAAAGGGAAGACAGUUUCAGAAGUGGUUCUGUCAAACAGGACAGAGAAAAGAGCGACGGGAGCAAAGACGAGAUCAGACUUUUGAGAGAGGCGCUCGAAAGCGUUCAGGUGAGACUGCUGGAAACCAGGAAGGAGAACCGCUCACUGCAGGCUCAGCUGAAACCUGAGGGAGGAAGAGAAAGAGACGAGGAUGUGUGUGUGAGGGAGAAAGGAAAGGAGGAAGAGCUGAUGGAAAGUCUAGCAGAGCUGCAAGCGAAGCUGACGGACACCCAGGAGAGAUACCACCAAGCUGUGGAGGAGGUGGAGGAGCUGAGAGCCCAGAUAAGAAGAGGGGGAGGCGAGCGCAUUGAGAAGGAGGAGGUCCAGAGACAUGCACCAGGAACACUUGAACAUGAGGUGAAGCAGCUGACGGACCGGCUUCUCCAGGCGGGGUCUGAGCGAGAGAAAGCAGCUCAGGAAAUCAGACAGCUGGAGGAGGCCCUGAGGAGGACGGAGGAGGAGAGACGGAGCCUCGAGGAGAAAGAACGGGAGAUGAUGCAGAUGGAGGAGCUGUACAGGGAGGCACAGGAGGAGAUCCGGAUCCUUCAGGAGGCUCUGAGGGGAACGGUGCCUGUUGAAGCUGCAGCCAAAGACUUUGAAGACAUGAAGACUGAGCUGAACGAGGUUAUUGCCGGGCUGCAGCGCCGCUUGCUCGAACUGUCCCACUCCUACAGUGAAACCAAGAGUCAACUGAGCGUGGCUCAGAAACAGCUGGCCGAGGCCCAGUCCGAGGACAGCUCGCCAUCUCCCUCCUCGGAGCAUCAGCAGAACGUCCAGGCCCUGAGCAGCAGGGUGGAGGAGCUGCAGACGCUGCUGGCCGAGAAGGAGAAGAGCUGCUCAGCUGCUCAGGAGGAGGUUUCGGUGCUGAAGCAGGAGGCGGAAGCCGUGGCACAGAGCACCGUGUCCCUCACUGACCACGCACAGGUCAUGUCUUCUCUGGGAAACGCCGUCAAAGAGCUGGAAAGCCAGGCAGACGGCCUGAAGGAGCAGCUACACCAGAAGACCGUGCAGAUGGAGGCUCUUCAGAGCAGACUGGCGGCAGAGAAGGACGUCAUCCCAGACCAUUCCGUCUCCCGCAUGGAGCACGAGACUGUCCGAGAGCAACUGGAAGGUGAGGUGAACCACCUGACGCAGCUGCUCCAGGGGGCCCUCAGGAAGCAGGAUGAAAUGGCUCUGGAGGCUGCCGACGCAUGGCAGAAGGCGCGAGAAAAUCGUGCAGAACGCGAAGCGCUGCAGGAGCUCCUGAUAUCAAAGGAGAAGGAGAGCCAGACGCUGACCUCCAGACUGGCCGAGUCCCAGGAUGCUGUAGGUCAGCUCAAACAGCUGGUGGAGGAACACGUUGCCUCAGAAAGAGAAAAGAACAAGAGGAUCGACGACCUGUCCCGAGAGGUGGGGAAGCUGAAGGACGCCUUAAACAGCCUGUCCCAGCUCUCCUACAGCUCCGGUUCCCCCUCCAAGCGACAGCAGCAGAACCAGCAGCUGGAGGCGAUGCAGCAGCAAGUCAAACAGCUGCAGUACCAGCUAGCUGAAUCAAAGAAGCAGCAUCAUGAGAUCGUGUCUGUCUACAGGAUGCAUCUCCUCUAUGCUGUCCAGUACAAGAGGGACCGUGCCCUCCGUAGUUUAGGCAAACAGGCAGUUACAGAACAGAACAGAGGCAGCAGGAAAGCGAAGCAGCAAAAGGUCAGGAUCAGAGCAGCCCAAUAAGGAAACUGGCUAAAGAGCAAAGAAUGCAAAGGUUCAAAGACCAUCUGGCAACUGAGCACAGAGAGCACAGCCAGCAGCAGGGUAAUGGAGGAGUAACGAGGCAACGGGCAGCGGUUACUGGUCAGAUGGAUGAGGAUGUCCAGAAAGCUUUGAAGCAGAUCCUUAUGAUGUGCAAGGUGCCAAGUCAAGCCAAGGAGGCCUGCUGAGCGUGAGCGGGCCCGGUUUCCCACAAGCACCUUGUCAAUGAACCUGAAGUGAACUGCUGCUGCCACCACCGUCCUGUCUGUCUGAGCACAGCCAUCACGCAGUGCCUCCCAGUAUAAUAUGAGGAGUGGGUUUACAAUCAUACAGUGUGUUGUCGCUUCGUCAUUCUCAUUCAUUAUGACCUAAAAGUCACUUUGAUGCAAGCCGUUUUGGGGAGUCCAACAUGAACAUACUGUUCAAAAUAUGGCCGUUCAAACAGAAGGGCCAGUUUAUGUGCGCCUGAACCCGACACAGAAAAAGUCCAGUAUCUCUAAAUCACAUGCUGUUAAACAAGCGCGUGGAUGCAAACAUGUGCGUGUGCACGAAUCAGUGAGUUUGACGUGGUUGGUUUCGUUUGGACUCACUGCUGUUAGUAGUAUCUAUUUUCUGAUACAAGUGUUUUAUUUCUUCUAAGCGUCGUCCUCCCUUUCCUGAUACUAUCUAACUUAUUUGUGCCCCGAUAACAAACAGCCCAAGAUCAAUGAAAUAUAGUUUUGACCUCACUUCUAUGAAGAAAAUUUGUGAUCCUGUUUAAACUCUACUGCGAUUUUCCUAUUAGCAAAAAUAUAUAAAACUGUAUUUUACUGAAUGGUUUUACUAUGUUUUCCAAGUGGCUGCAUUUUAAUGAAGACGACUGAUCGCUGGAUUUCUUAUGGCCUUGUUUUGUGCUUUUACUCCCUCCAGAAAAGCGUAGCACUGUUUGGUCGAGACACAUAGAUGAGAGCAUUUUACUAUUAUUAUGUUCAAGUAUGAUCGUAUUUGUCCUGUAAUGAAACAGAACAUUUCAAUAGUAACGGAUGUCAAACAGUAUGAGCACAAUAGGAUUGUUUCUUUUUUUAACUUGUUACGAAAUGAGAGUUUUAGUUGCUCUGUGCAUGUGUUUAGUUUGUCUUUGUUACUGGCUACAGGUCAACAACUCAAAAAAACAAAUAAUGAGCGUCCUGUUAACGUUUUUGGUCUUUUUGAUAGAUUCUAAAAUAUCUAGGUAUCACCUUUAGGUACGUUGACACUGCAGUGUUGCGAUUUUAGUGUUUGAAUCUGUUCUCGGGCUUCUGACCCAUUUUCAUUUCACACUCCUCUGCCUUCGUCCUGUGUUUUAAGCCAUAAAAACCCUGACACAUUAACGCUUCGGCUGGUUACAGUUCAGCAUUAUUUAACAUACACAGGUCUAGUACUGUUUACCCACAGUCAGAUUAAAUGCUUUAGGAUCUGACUGACUGAAGUUCCCACAGGCGUUUUUCCACUCAGGUACAUUUUUUACUCAAUAGAAUUUACUGCCUGACACUUGUUUGACCGUGCGUAGAGUCUUAGCCUGUUCUCACCCCUUUAGGUUAUAGGAGAUCAGCUUGUUUCCUCUGUGUCUGUCUUUGCCUUGACUUUUUUUUGUAACAGGAAAAGGGAAAGUAAGAAACAACAUUUUGUGUUUGUUUCUUUACUAAUUGUUUUGUAGUGACAAAAACAGCUCGUUUGCCAACUGCUUUUUUUGCCCACAGUAAUAAAUUUUCAAGAUAUUGCGUCA